UACGAAGGGGGCUAGCGUUGCUCGGAAUCACUGGGCGUAAAGGGUGCGUAGGCGGGUUAUUAAGUCAGAGGUGAAAUCCUGGAGCUCAACUCCAGAACUGCCUUUGAUACUGAUAGUCUUGAGUAUGGGAGAGGUGAGUGAACUGCGAGUGUAGAGGUGAAAUUCGUAGAUAUUCGCAAGAACACCAGUGGCGAAGGCGCUCACUGGCCCAUUACUGACGCUGAGGCACGAAAGCGUGGGGAGCAACAGGG
rnacentral:rRNA from 1 species